rnacentral:rRNA from 1 species
CAGUCGCCGCGGGAAUACAGAGGAUGCAAGCGUUAUUCGGAAUGAUUGGGCGUAAAGCGUCUGUAGGUAGCUUUUCAAGUCUGCCGUCAAAUCCCUGGGCUCAACCUUGGACAGGCAGUGGAAACUACCAAGCUGGAGUAUGGUAGGGGCAGAGGGAAUUUCCAGUGGAGCGGUGAAAUGCGUUGAGAUCGGAAAGAACACCAACGGCGAAAGCACUCUGCUGGGCCGACACUAACACUGAGAGACGAAGGCUAGGGGAGCAAAUGGGAUUAGAGACCCCCGUAGUCCCUGUCUCUUAUAC